rnacentral:lncRNA from 1 species
CCGCGCUUUCGAUUUACACAGUGAGCAACGUAAACGUCAGCCUAGGAAUGGAAAGAACACUGGAAAGCGCCCGAAAAAUCCUCACCGGAUAGCUUUUGAAACUGUCUGCCACGGUAGCUGCAAAUGCAAGCUACUUGCCAAAAUAUGCGCACCGGCGUGAUCGACCUGUGCAGCAGGUUGUUCGAAGCGAUCCAUAGCGAUCUGCUUCUGGAUGAGCAGCAGGAACAGCCGGCCACUGAUUACCGUCGACAGCACUUUGCGAGGCUGUUGCGAGGACAAAUGAAAACUAACGCUUUCCAUUCAACUCUGUUCCCUACGUCUGAUAAGCACAAUGGCAAGCACAUGGUGCAAUUUCAUGAUCAUCCCUAUGAUGCAUUGGACACUGAGGACAAGGACAUCACCUAAGGAUGCACUUAAGACAGCAAGUACACAAUAUAAUGCCCUACAAUGCUGAAUGCCUGACUGGUACUAAGGCAGCAUACAAGCUUGUGAGUUCCCGAGGAUUUGCCUGACUACACUAGCCUCGGAAGCCCGUACUUCACCGACGAUAUUGCCUUCACGAAGAUCUAUAGUUGCAUUAAGGGUUGGCUGACGAUGCGAAUGACCUACAUCGGAUGGAAGCGAUGUCAUCGCGUUGGCAUGCGAUGAACGUGUGGUGGUGCCAAAUGAUCACAUUGAAGAUAG